AACGGCCAUACCAUGCUGAAUAUACCGGUUCUCGUUAGAUCACCGAAGUCAUUGAAGCAUCAUUGGGCGCGGUGUACUUGGUUGGGUGACCACCUGGGAACACCACGUGCCGCUG